rnacentral:rRNA from 1 species
GUGUCAGCCGCCGCGGUAAUACAGAGGGUGCGAGCGUUAAUCGGAAUUACUGGGCGUAAAGCGCACGUAGGUGGCUUUGCAAGUCGAUUGUGAAAUCCCCGGGCUUAACCUGGGAACUGCAGUCGAGACUGCUUUGCUUGAGUAUGGGAGAGGGAGGUGGAAUUUCCGGUGUAGCGGUGAAAUGCGUAGAUAUCGGAAGGAACAUCAGUGGCGAAGGCGACCUCCUGGACCAAUACUGACACUCAAGUGCGAAAGCGUGGGGAGCAAACAGGAUUAGAAACCCCAGUAGUCC